GCCAACAUCAUGUUGAAACACUGGUUUCUGUACGAUCACUGAAGUUAAGCAACAUUGAGCCUGGGCAGUACCUAGAUGGGUAGCCGCUUGGGAAUGCCAGGUGAUGUA